rnacentral:rRNA from 1 species
GACGAACGCUGGCGGCGUGCUUAACACAUGCAAGUCGAGCGGUAAGGCCCUUUCGGGGGUACGACGAGCGGCGAACGGGUGGAGUAACACGUGGGUGACCUGCCCUCCAGCUCUGGGAGUAAGCCUGGGAAACCGGGUCGUAAUACUGGAUAUGACUCCAUGACGCAUGUUGUGGGGUGGAAAGCCUUGUGCGGCUGAGGAUGGGCCCGCGGCCUAUCAGCUUGUUGGUGGGGUGAUGGCCUACCAAGGCGACGACGGGUAGCCGGCCUGAGAGGGCGACCGGCCACACUGGGACUGAGACACGGCCCAGACUCCUACGGGA